GGGAAACUAGCCGCAGACUGAAAGCCAGCUCCCCGGAAGGGUCUCGUUUUUCCGAGCUGGAAAAUGCAGAUUCCUGGUUCCUGCGUUUUUUAAACUAGCAUCUCUGAUGGUGCUGAUGCAGAGGGCCAGCGGACUCUGGUUUGAAAAACACGGCCCUGUCGAAGGCACUUCUCACAGGCCCCCCUCGACAUCUCUUCUCUACUGCCAAAGCCCAGGACACAAGAGGCCAGAUGGAGACCAAGGGUUUCACAAGAAACUGAUCUUUACUCAACAAAGUUCUACACAAGUGGAAUCUCACGCCACCUUGGCGCCAGUCCCCAGCACAGCACGAGACCUGCUGGAGUUUCACAGCGGGGGAACCAGCUGAGUUUAUGGAAUGUGCACCAAGUGCCCCUGGAAGAGAGGGCACGGCGACUUCUGGACGCAGCGCGCUCCCCAGCAACCCCUCUGACGACGACGCAGACAGAAACCUGUGAGGAGAGGAGAGGGUCAGGGCCUGCGCCCCUUUGGCCCCCACAACAGCGCCAGCCCUCUCUGCACACGGCCUCCUCACCUGGCAGUCGCAGUACUCAUCUAGACCCCGUAGAAGGCAGCUAGCCUCUCCUUAAGCAGCGGUGGGAACUGCUCUGAGAACUGCUGCCAGUUUUCCUCCCCAACUUGGUCUUUGAAGCCAUGGAGAAUCUGCAGCGAGGGAGGGGGUGAGGGGUGCCCCGGAGCGGAGCAAGAUGAAGAUGAACUCGGUCUCUCCCCACCCUGCCGCCUUCCGAGACUAGAUCAGGGCCAAGCGGGAGCCCUACCUUAUAAAACAUGUCCCGAAGGUCAUCCUUCGGGCUCACCCAGGAGGCUACAGCGUCGCAGAAGAAAAUAAAGUCCUGAAACGUGACGGAUCCCACGUGAGGGGCCGUCCAAGCCCAGCCCCAGCAACUUCCCUCAGAGCCCAGCUGCCCCAACCUGCACAACACCCCCGGGGUUGACGCCUAUCAUCAUGCAGAUGCCUCGGAAGGCCGAGUCCUUCUCCUCAUUGUCCCUGAUGUUCCUGAGGGAUGUGCACCUGUGGGGAAGGCCUGGAUGCUGAGGGGGUCGUGUGUGCUGCCUGUAACAGUUCUGCAAAGCCCUCUGGUAGUUCACGCUGUACACCCCAUCCAUCGGGACAAGGGAAACCUGGAAACCGUGUCAAUACAGCACAAGCACACCGUGUGAAGUUUAAGGAAACACCACUGCACACUUCUGAUUCUGGCAGGCCAGCCUCGCAGCCAGAGCAGGCUUCUGAUUCCCUCCUGAGAGGGGAGCCCAGGGCUUGCUGCCCCCUACUUCCGGCUUCUCACCCCAGGCCCGGCCACCUACUCAGAUUCCAGUCGGACAAAGCAUCGUCGUCGUCAUCAUCCUCCGCAUCCUCAGAGCCAUCAGGCCGCUCGGCCUCAUGGGGCAGCGUCACUGUGCGUGACUUGUGGAAACGUGGCUUGAUAUCCUGCUCGCUGUCAGGGACGGCCUCGUCCUCCUCCACAUCCCCCUGUGGAGCCAGGCAGAUGGCUAAGCACCACAGAGGCCCCCAUCCCCAGUGCCCCAGCCUUCAUCCUCCUGCCUGUGCCUGGUGGUCAGCCCUAACUUACCUUGAGCAGGAUGAUGUCGAUUUCUGAGUACUUCAUCCCGUUUACCAGGAUAGGGAUCAACCUGUUGGAAGAGAGGCUGUUAAUCAGGAUGCAGGGGCCCCAGAGGGGGCUUACAGCCUGGGGAAGAGGGAAGAAGGGGGGAGGGGAGGAGGUCAGGGAGCCACGGGGCCGACUGCACAUGCUGAUCCUGGUUAUGCUACACCCACUCAUUUCCCUUAGUGGGUACUAUCUCAGCCAAGUCUCAGCCACUGUGACUGGGUCAGAGCUGACACUACUCCUAGCUCCACAGGAAGGUUCUGGACCCAGACCCCUGGCCACUCAGUGAAUUCCCGACCCCUGAAUACACUGAGAAGCUUGGAAUAGUGCCUGACCCCUAGCACACCAUAAAGCAGGGACAUGUGGCCCUGUCACCAGGCACUUCCCUAGGAUGGGGCCUGGUUAGGGGACCAAACAGGCAGGGCAGCCUGCCCCCUCAGCUGGAGCCCAUGCACCUUGGGAUCGGAGAUUUUGGUUAGAGCCCUCACUGACUCGGGGAUAGAAAAGUAAUCCAAGUUGGUCAAGGAGAAUCAGCCCUAGGACUUUUGCGGAGAUACUGGUUGAGAGAGAAUUUCUUUACUCUGAGGCUCCUGAGCUGGAAGGCUGCAGAAGGCCACAGUACUACGACGAGGGAAGGCUGUGCCUGAGAACAAAGCCAACAUAGAGGAAGUAGAUCUGAGACCAGACAGGCGCCUUUCACAUCCUUUGAGCACCUGGAUCCAGCUAUGCCUAAAGCCUCUGUUGAGUCUUCACUUUUUUCCACCUAUAACUUAACCUAAUUUUUAAGUCAUUAAAGCUACAUACUUACCGUUUGCAAAAUAAACGUGCACAGGAAUAAAA